UGCUAGUCUAAAAUAUAAAAAAGACACUACCUAUAAUUUCGGAUCUAAAAAUAUAACCUCAGAUCAAGUCUUCUUUAUGGCUUAUGCACAAGAAUUCUGUGAACAAAGAUCACCUGACCUUCAAUUAGAUGAAUCUGAUCAUUCUCCGGGCGAAAUUAGGGUAAAUGCCGUUUUAUCAGAAUUCGAGCCUUUUUUGAAGAGCUGGAAUUGCAGUGAAAAAUGUCAAACUCAAUAUUCGC